rnacentral:rRNA from 1 species
AUACGGAGGAUCCGAGCGUUAUCCGGAUUUAUUGGGUUUAAAGGGAGCGUAGGUGGAUUGUUAAGUCAGUUGUGAAAGUUUGCGGCUCAACCGUAAAAUUGCAGUUGAAACUGGCAGUCUUGAGUACAGUAGAGGUGGGCGGAAUUCGUGGUGUAGCGGUGAAAUGCUUAGAUAUCACGAAGAACUCCGAUUGCGAAGGCAGCUCACUAGACUGUUACUGACACUGAUGCUCGAAAGUGUGGGUAUCAAACAGGAUUAGAUACCCUGGUAGUCCACACAGUAAACGAUGAAUACUCGCUGUUUGCGAUAUACAGUAAGCGGCCAAGCGAAAGCAUUAAGUAUUCCACCUGGGGAGUACGCCGGCAACGGUGAAACUCAAAGGAAUUGGCGGGGGCCCGCACAAGCGGAGGAACAUGUGGUUUAAUUCGAUGAUACGCGAGGAACCUUACCCGGGCUUAAAUUGCAACAGAAUAUAUUGGAAACAGUAUAGCCGUAAGGCUGUUGUGAAGGUGCUGCAUGGUUGUCGUCAGCUCGUGCCGUGAGGUGUCGGCUUAAGUGCCAUAACGAGCGCAACCCUUAUCUUUAGUUACUAACAGGUCAUGCUGAGGACUCUAGAGAGACUGCCGUCGUAAGAUGUGAGGAAGGUGGGGAUGACGUCAAAUCAGCACGGCCCUUACGUCCGGGGCUACACACGUGUUACAAUGGGGGGUACAGAAGGCGGCUACCUGGUGACAGGAUGCUAAUCCCAAAAACCUCUCUCAGUUCGGAUCGAAGUCUGCAACCCGACUUCGUGAAGCUGGAUUCGCUAGUAAUCGCGCAUCAGCCAUGGCGCGGUGAAUACGUUCCCGGGCCUUGUACACACCGCCCGUCAAGCCAUGAAAGCCGGGGGUACCUGAAGUACGUAACCGCAAGGAGCGUCCUAGGGUAAAACUGGUAAUUGGGGCU